GAUGAAGAACGGAGCGAAAUGCGAUAAGUAAUGUGAAUUGCAGAAUUCAGUGAAUCAUCGAAUCUUUGAACGCACAUUGCGCCCGCCAGUAUUCUGGCGGGCAUGCCUGUUCGAGCGUCAUUUCAACCAUCAAGCCCCCGGCUUGUGUUGGGGACCUGCGGCUGCCGCAGGCCCUGAAAAGCAGUGGCGGGCUCGCUGUCACACCGAGCGUAGUAGAUUUCAUCUCGCUCAGGGCGUGCUGCGGGUUCCGGCCGUUAAACCACCUUCAUAACCCAAGGUUGACCUCGGAUCAGGUAGGAAGACCCGCUGAACUUAAGCAUAUCAAUAAGCGGAGGA
rnacentral:misc_RNA from 1 species